rnacentral:lncRNA from 1 species
UUAAUCACCUUUCUGCUCCCAAAUUAAUUAUACAUGUAGUCAGGAUCAAAUGAUCGUGUAUAUACUGUAUGUAUUUUGUUUGUUUGUUUUUGCUAUUAGUGCUAAUUCACUCAACAAGGGAUAUCCCAAAUGUGUGGAAAAAGAGCCAAACAUCCCAUUCUAGAUUUGGUGUGGAUGACAAGUUUUUACAGGAAGAAUAUGCUUUACAGAUUGAAGAAUAGGAUAUCAAAUUUGUUGAGAGAAGUCUGUUGGCAUUCCACUUCACUUGUCAGGCUGCAUAUAAAGGCAAAGAUUGGAGAUCUACAAGUGAAAAGAAAUAUUUCAACAGACAAUGCCUGGUACUUUCAAUCUGAUCACUUUACAAACAAGCAGAUGCUUUCUCUAUUGUAUGGAUGACCUCAUCAGGGAAAGUGGAUUAAGCUCUGGAUCACUCAGAGUCAUCCUCCAGCACUUCUCAAAUCACAGGCCUAUUCUGCUCUACUCUUCCCUUAAAAGAACAAGGACAAUUCUAAAUAACGUUCAUCUCAUUAAUUAAAAAAACAAAUAGGUAAGUAUUUAUACCCGUAGUUAAAUGUAAAUAAUGUUUUAUUAAGUAUGAAUCAUCAAAUUGCUUCACAAUGAUUUUAGAGCAAACUGUAUUUGGGGCAGGCAUUAUGCUAGAAAUUCUUUCAUGGCUUAUUUAAUUCUCAUAAUAUUCUAGAACUGCUUUCCCCUUUUUAAACAUAAGAUAAGCACUGGUUAGAAAGAUUACAUAGCUUGCUAAAGAUCAAGAGUAAAAAAUCUAUUUACAGCUAAUCAGUUGGCUUUGAGUGAUAUAAACAUAGGUUUUUGUAUUACAAAGGAGCUAAAGACAUACAGUUGUGUUUCAUUAUCAGUCAUUAACUCCACCCUCUUCCAGAUUAUCUGGCAAAAUAUGCCAUUUAAAAGAUAGGAGCCCACUUUUCCAGAAUGACCUGCCUUUUCUAUUUUGUUCUUGUUGAUCACCUAACAAAAUGAAAGAAGAAUGUACCUUGUCUCACAACAUAUUUUAAAACAAUGUCUUUCACUGUUGUUUUUAACGUUUUUUUCUUUUCUUUUCUUUUUUUUUUUUUUUUUUUCCGCAGAACGCUCUUCUUUAAACAUCUGUUUAAAAAAUUAGCGUUUAAAAGAUGAAGGACUUCACUGGUGGUCCCGUGGGUAAGAUUCUGUGCUUCCACUGCAGGGAGCACAGGUACGAUCCCUGAUUGGGGAACUGAAAUCCCACAUGCCACAAGACAUGGCCAAAAGUAAGUAAAUAAGUAAAAUAAUAAAAUAAAUGAAAACAGUAUACCACUUGUAACAUCAGUUUAUACUGUUUAAAGUGAAAGUGAAAGCACUCAGCGGGUCCG